rnacentral:rRNA from 1 species
ACAGCAGCCGCCGCGGGAAUACGUAGGGUGCGAGCGUUAAUCGGAAUUACUGGGCGUAAAGCGUGCGCAGGCGGUUAUAUAAGACAGAUGUGGAAUCCCCGGGCUCAACCUGGGACCUGUAUUUGUGUCUGUAUAGCUAGAGUACGGUAGAGGGGGAUGGAAUUCCGCGUGUAGCAGUGAAAUGCGUAGAUAUGCGGAGGAACACCGAUGGCGAAGGCAAUCCCCUGGACCUGUACUGACGCUCAUGCACGAAAGCGUGGGGAGCAAACAGGAUUAGAUACCCGCGUAGUCCCUGUCUCUUAUAC